rnacentral:rRNA from 1 species
AACGAACACUGGCGGCGUGGCUUAGGCAUGCAAGUCGAACGUGAAAGUCCCUUCGGGGAUGAGUAAAGUGGCGAACGGGUGAGUAACGCGUGGGAAACCUUCCCUUCGAUGGGGGAUAACAGUUCUAACGAGCUGCUAAUACCGCAUACGACCCUUGGAUCGCAUGGUCCGGGGGUGAAAGGGGCGAUCUCUUCGGAGAGCUCCCGUCGAUGGAUGGUCCCGCGUCCCAUUAGCUAGUUGCGGGGUAAUGGCCCACCAAGGCGACGAUGGGUAGCCGGCCUGAGAGGGUGUCCGGCCACACUGGGACUGAGAUACGGCCCAGACUCCUACGGAGGCAGCAGUCGAGAAGCUUCGGCAAUGGGCGAAAGCCUGACCGAGCGACGCCGCGUGAGCGAAGAAGGCCCUAUGGGUUGUAAAGCUCUGUCAGAUUGGGAAGAAAACCUCGCGGUUAAUACCCGCGAGGCCUGACGGUACCAUCAGAGGAAGCACCGGCAACCCCGUGCCAGCAGCCGCGGUAAU